rnacentral:rRNA from 1 species
GAUGAACGCUGGCGGCGUGCCUAACACAUGCAAGUCGAGCGAACCCUUCGGGGUGAGCGGCGGACGGGUGAGUAACGCGUGGGUAACCUGCCCUGUACACACGGAUAACAUACCGAAAGGUAUGCUAAUACGAGAUAAUAUAUUUUAAUCGCAUGGUUAAGAUAUCAAAGCUCUGGCGGUACAGGAUGGACCCGCGUCUGAUUAGCUAGUUGGUGAGGUAAUGGCUCACCAAGGCGACGAUCAGUAGCCGACCUGAGAGGGUGAUCGGCCACACUGGAACUGAGACACGGUCCAGACUCCUACGGGAGGCAGCAGUGGGGAAUAUUGCACAAUGGGCGAAAGCCUGAUGCAGCAACGCCGCGUGAGCGAUGAAGGCCUUCGGGUCGUAAGCUCUGUCCUCAAGGAAGAUAAUGACGGUACUUGUAGGAGGAAGCCCGGCUAACUACGUG